UGUAUAGAGAGGUAAGGGAUUAGAGAUAAUGAGGGUUUAUUUAGAGAUCAAUUAAUUCUGGAUCCAGUGGCUUAAUUUCUUUUAGUGUUUUGAUUUUCAAAAUUACAUUCCCCUUGAUGAAUUCUAAGAUGGGGUUUUUUGCUUCUUAAUAAUUACGUACCGGGGAAGUGUGAUUUUAUGUAGAAAGAAUUGAAAUUUUGAGUUUAUGGGUUGAGUGCUUUUCAUUUUCCAUUAUUAUUAUUAUUAUUAU
rnacentral:lncRNA from 1 species